AUUGAACGCUGGCGGCAGGCCUAACACAUGCAAGUCGAACGGUAACAGGAAGAAGCUUGCUUCUUUGCUGACGAGUGGCGGACGGGUGAGUAAUGUCUGGGAAACUGCCUGAUGGAGGGGGAUAACUACUGGAAACGGUAGCUAAUACCGCAUAACGUCGCAAGACCAAAAAGGGGGACCUUCGGGCCUCUUGCCAUCGGAUGUGCCCAGAUGGGAUUAGCUAGUAGGUGGGGUAACGGCUCACCUAGGCGACGAUCCCUAGCUGGUCUGAGAGGAUGACCAGCCACACUGGAACUGAGACACUGUCCAGACUCCUACGGGAGGCAGCAGUGGGGAAUAUUGCACAAUGGGCGCAAGCCUGAUGCAGCCAUGCCGCGUGUAUGAAGAAGGCCUUCGGGUUGUAAAGUACUUUCAGCGGGGAGGAAGGGAGUAAAGUUAAUACCUUUGCUCAUUGACGUUACCCGCAGAAGAAGCACCGGCUAACUCCGUG
rnacentral:rRNA from 1 species